CAGAGGCCCUUGCCACACCCUGGGAUCAGGGUUGGACAUCGCUGUGGUCGGCAGAGCUCUAGUCAGCGGGGGCCAGGGAGUUUGGACUGAGAACCAUGCUGGAUGUCUCCUGGAUCUUCCCCUAACACCUCCCCCCAGCGCACAGCUUCUCAUGUGGAGUCCAGGCAUUGUGGAUGACUGACCUGAACCCUUCCUGGAUGACGAUCACUGCACAGUCUGCUUGUGACAUGUGAGUUCCUGGAUUUGCAUUAGAUCCCUGACUUUGAUGCCUCCAGGUGAUAUGAUCUGGAGCCCUCAGGACCAGGAAGGCAGCAGGGCUGCAUGACCGGCUGAACAGAUUGAUCGAUUCCAAAGCCAGAAGGGCCCAGAGCGAUCGUCUCGGCUCACCUCCUGCAGAACACAGGCCAUUGGACAGUUUCCCUCUCGGGCAGAUCAUUGGGAAAAACAUCCCAUCUGAAACUGACAAACGGCCAGUGAUGGAGAAUCCACCACAACCCUCGCGAACUUGAUCCAGUGGCUAUUUCCCUGCACUGUUAAAAUACUGCCCUUUAUUUCCAGUC